CAUUCAGUUGUACAACUGACUAGGUAUCCCCUCUCCCAUUCAGUUGUACAACUGACUAGGUAUCCCCUCUCCCAUUCAGUUGUACAACUGACUAGGUAUCCCCUCUCCCAUUCAGUUGUACAACUGACUAGGUAUCCCCUCUCCCAUUCAGUUGUACAACUGACUAGGUAUCCCCUCUCCCAUUCAGUUGUACAACUGACUAGGUAUCCCCUCUCCCAUUCAGUUGUACAACUGACUAGGUAUCCCCUCUCCCAUUCAGAAAGAAUUUAGACCCCUUGACUUUUCCCACAUUUUGUUUUUGUUACAGCCUUAUUUUAAUAUGGAUUAAAUAAAAAAAAAUCCUCAUCAAUCUACACACAAUAUCCCAUAAUAACCAAGCAAACACCGGUUUUGGAAAUGUUUUCACAUUUUCUCAAAUAAAAAAAUAAAAAACA